rnacentral:rRNA from 1 species
AGCAGCCGCGGUAAUUCCAGCUCCAAUAGCGUAUAUUAAAGUUGUUGCAGUUAAAAAGCUCGUAGUUGAAUUUCGGGGUCAGUAGGUUGGUCAUGCCACUGGUAUGUACUGAUCUUACUGAUUCCUCCUUCCUGAUGAACCGUAAUGCCAUUAAUUUGGUGUUGCGGGGAGACUGGACUGUUACUUUGAAAAAAUUAGAGUGUUUAAAGCAGGCUAACGCUUGAAUACAUUAGCAUGGAAUAAUGAAAUAGGACGUUCGAUCCUAUUUUGUUGGUUUCUAGGAUUGACGUAAUGAUUAAUAGGGAUAGUUGGGGGCAUUAGUAUUCAAUUGUCAGAGGUGAAAUUCUUGGAUUUAUUGAAGACUAACUACUGCGAAAGCAUUUGCCAAGGAUGUUUUCAUUAAUCAAGAACGAAAGUUAGGGGAUCGAAGACGAUCAGAUACCGUCGUAGUCUUAACCAUAAACUAUGCCGACUAGGGAUCGGAUGAUGUUAAUUUUUUAAUGACUCAUUCGGCGCCUUACG